UACGGAGGGUGCAAGCGUUAUCCGGAUUCACUGGGUUUAAAGGGUGCGUAGGCGGGCAGGUAAGUCCGUGGUGAAAUCUCUGAGCUUAACUCAGAAACUGCCAUGGAUACUAUUUGUCUUGAAUAUUGUGGAGGUAAGCGGAAUAUGUCAUGUAGCGGUGAAAUGCUUAGAUAUGACAUAGAACACCAAUUGCGAAGGCAGCUGGCUACGCAUAUAUUGACACUGAGGCACGAAAGCGUGGGGAUCAAACAGG
rnacentral:rRNA from 1 species